rnacentral:lncRNA from 1 species
GCUGGAUCUUCUUCUGAAGGCCACGCACUUCCUCUUCGGCCUGCAGCAGUGACCGGACAAUAUCGGUGAUGUCCAAAGGGGUACAGUUAUCAUAAGAAUACGGUGCCUAUCGAGCUUUACAAAUUUGGAUGGGUGCUACGAACUUGGGUUGAACUGUGGUAUGUGGCUGCCUCGGUGACCAAUAAGGCAAUACUGACGUCAUAGGCUGGCUUACUGCCAGGCCCAAGCCUAUACGCGGCGUAGGCAGUGUUGAACAUUCUACAAAGGUAGAGCCAAAUGUGAUAAGCGAAGUUGCAUUAUCAUAAAAACAGAUGAGGGAGGAGUCUACGUCUAUGGUACGGUAAGCAAACGUUGACAGCGUAAGAUCUUCGGAGUGUCGUUGUGUACUGCUUGCAAGCUAAAAGCAGAAGUAAGCGCGAGCUGGAGUCUAUUAUACAGCUUCAAGAUCAUGCUUUCGAAACGUGGGCUUCCAAAAGAAACAACAGCCCGUUUAGCGAAGGUUAACCCAUUAAGGCAAAGUUUUGUUGGGCGGUACUUAUGUACAAAGGAAACCGAUCCAGCAGUAUCAUGCGUGCCAUAAAGCAGUCUUUUUUUUUGGGAAAGAUACUUUUGGAAAAGAAAGUGUGUUCUGUCGCUAUUACCCGUUGAGAUUGGUUUAUUAAUGACCUUACUAUUUAUUAUUAGCCUGUCACCUAAUCGUGAAGCUUUUGGAGCCCAACACAGCACUACGGUAGUGUAGAAACAAGCCUGCACUGGCAUAUCCUUCAGCCAAAUAGAGGGAGAUCUGGCCCGCCACAACUUUUACUCCUUGAGCUUGAGACAUAUGGCACACGGAGCUCGUUGGCCUAAGAGCAUCUACGCCCCAAGUAUAGAUCUCCGGAACGUGAACCUUUCAAAUUAGUCUUGUAUUAUAUACAGCGAACAAACAUAGCAUCAUACAAGAACAACGUAUAUCCAGGGCGGGACGGCACAGAACACUGAUGGUGUCUAGGUGGUGGUAGACGAAGCACAUGGUAAUCAUCCAAUUGUAUUCUGGUUUGUUGAGAGACGUCGGUUAUGACGCAAAUGAUAUUUUGUCCCAUAUUUUGAUCGAUCUACUAACUAAUCGAUCGAACACGA